rnacentral:rRNA from 1 species
AACGAACGCUGGCGGCAUGCCUAACACAUGCAAGUCGAACGAGACCUUCGGGUCUAGUGGCGCACGGGUGCGUAACGCGUGGGAACCUGCCCUUAGGUUCGGAAUAACUCCCCGAAAGGGGUGCUAAUACCGGAUAAUGUCUUCGGACCAAAGAUUUAUCGCCUUUGGAUGGGCCCGCGUUGGAUUAGCUCGUUGGUAGGGUAAAAGCCUACCAAGGCGACGAUCCAUAGCUGGUCUGAGAGGAUGAUCAGCCACACUGGGACUGAGACACGGCCCAGACUCCUACGGGAGGCAGCAGUGGGGAAUAUUGGACAAUGGGCGAAAGCCUGAUCCAGCAAUGCCGCGUGAGUGAUGAAGGCCUUAGGGUUGUAAAGCUCUUUUACCCGGGAUGAUAAUGACAGUACCGGGAGAAUAAGCGCCGGCUAACUCCGUG